UACGAAGGGAUCUAGCGUUGUUCGGAUUUACUGGGCGUAAAGGGCGCGUAGGCGGUCUGGCAAGUCAGAUGUGAAAGCCCUGGGCUUAACCCGGGAACUGCAUUUGAAACUGCCAGGCUUGAGUAUGGGAGAGGUAAGUAGAAUUCCCAGUGUAGAGGUGAAAUUCGUAGAUAUUGGGAAGAAUACCAAUGGCGAAGGCAGCUUACUGGACCAUAACUGACGCUGAGGCGCGAAAGCGUGGGGAGCAAACAGG
rnacentral:rRNA from 1 species